rnacentral:rRNA from 1 species
UACGUAGGGUGCAAGCGUUGUCCGGAAUUAUUGGGCGUAAAGAGCUCGUAGGCGGUCUGUCGCGUCGGCUGUGAAAACCUGGGGCUCAACCCCAGGCCUGCAGUCGAUACGGGCAGACUAGAGUCCGGCAGGGGAGACUGGAAUUCCUGGUGUAGCGGUGAAAUGCGCAGAUAUCAGGAGGAACACCGGUGGCGAAGGCGGGUCUCUGGGCCGAUACUGACGUGAGGAGCGAAAGCGUGGGGGAGCGAACAGG